AGUGAACGCUGGCGGUAGGCCUAACACAUGCAAGUCGAACGGCAGCACAGUAAGAGCUUGCUCUUACGGGUGGCGAGUGGCGGACGGGUGAGGAAUACAUCGGAAUCUACUUUUUCGUGGGGGAUAACGUAGGGAAACUUACGCUAAUACCGCAUACGACCUACGGGUGAAAGCAGGGGAUCUUCGGACCUUGCGCGAUUGAAUGAGCCGAUGUCGGAUUAGCUAGUUGGCGGGGUAAAGGCCCACCAAGGCGACGAUCCGUAGCUGGUCUGAGAGGAUGAUCGCCCAAACUGGAACUGAGACACGGUCCAGACUCCCACGGGAGGCAGCAGGGGGGAAUUUGGGAAAAGGGGCGAAACCCUGAUCCAGCCAUCCCGGGGGGGAGAAGAAGGCCUUCGGGUUGUAAAGCCUUUUUGUUGGGAAAAAAAAGCAGAGGGUUAAAACCCCGCUGUUCUGACGGUACCAAAAAAAAAAGCACCGGCAAACUUCGU
rnacentral:rRNA from 1 species